UCUUUAUAAUAAAAUUAUUUUAAUAAGUUAUUUUAUAUAAAUUAGGUAUUUAAUUAAUUAAUUAUUUUAUUGGGGUGAUAUAAAAAUUUAACUAACUUUUUGAUUUGUUUUACUUAAAUUAAAGUUUUAAAAAUGAUGAUCUAUUAUUAAUAAUUCAAAGAAUAAGA
rnacentral:rRNA from 1 species